rfam:Gossypium arboreum cultivar AKA8401 contig_13911_3, whole genome shotgun sequence.
UAUUAAAUUUUUUAUCUAUUUAUAUUUUUAAAAAUUGACAUGACUAACAUAAUAAUCAGAUAAUAACACUUAGUAUGUCACAUAUACCUCAAGCUAAUAAAUAAAUAUCAAAUUUUAACAGAAAAAAUAGAUGAAAUUCUUAAUA